UAGUGAUUUAAAUUCCGUAAUCCCAAAGAGUUUAAAUGAUGUUAAUUUUAGAGGGAUAACUUUGUCUUCACUGUUAAACACAAGCGGCAAGCUUCCAGCAACUAUUUCUACGCAUUCAUACCAAAAACUAGGAGCAUAAACUAGGAGCAUAGGAAAUUCUUCAAGAGGAGUAUAGACAUCUAUAGACAUCGUUGGUAGGAUAUUAGAAGUUGCCUGGAUUUAAGGCCAAUCACUGUGUGAAUCUGUCUCCAACUAAGUAAAAACACUCUGAGGUUGGCUUUGUUUUUUAAAGAGCAGACUUACUAGUUUUGUCUGGUAAAGUGAUUUAAACUACCUGUUUGCUAAGCCAAAUGUGCGAUAUAGGGCAGAGAGACACGGCCAAACGUCUAGCGGAAGCGGCUGACCCACCGCUCGGCCACGCCCGGGUAAUGCUGCAUUCCGGGCUUUGUUAACUCGCGCACGCGCCGUGGCACCAACCCGGCCGCAGGGAGCUGUGGGCCCCUCGGGAGGCGGGGCCGCGCGCGUGGAUGUGACGCCACGGCGCGCGCCGCAUGCUGUUGCUGGGCAGCGAUGGCUGCUACUCUGGAGUCCUCGUUGGAGGACCCGCUGCGGAGCUUUGUGCGAGUUUUGGAGAAGCGGGAUGGCACGGUGCUACGACUACAGCAGCACGGCUCCGGCGGCGUGGGUUGCGUUGUUUGGGACGCUGCCAUUGUCCUUUCUAAAUACUUGGAAACGCCCGGGUUUUCUGGCGACGGAGCCCACGCGCUGAGCCGGCGGUCGGUGCUGGAGCUGGGUUCGGGCACCGGAGCCGUGGGGCUCAUGGCCGCUACCCUCGGGGCAGAUGUUGUAGUCACCGAUCUUGAGGAAUUGCAAGACUUGCUGAAGAUGAAUAUUAAUAUGAACAAACAUCUUGUCACCGGUUCUGUUCAAGCCAAGGUACUGAAAUGGGGGGGAGAAAUAGAAGACUUUCCUUCUCCACCAGACUACAUACUGAUGGCCGACUGCAUAUACUAUGAGGAGUCUUUGGAGCCAUUGCUGAAAACCCUGAAAGAUCUCAGUGGAUCUGAGACUUGUAUUAUAUGUUGUUAUGAACAACGAACAAUGGGAAAAAAUCCAGAAAUUGAAAAAAAAUAUUUUGAGCUGCUUCAACUAGACUUUGACUUUGAAAAAAUUCCUUUGGAAAAACAUGAUGAAGAGUAUCGAAGUGAAGAUAUUCAUAUUAUAUACAUCAGAAAGAAAAAAUCGAAAUUUCCAUCGUGAAACCUUUAGUCAUCUUACCCGAGCCUCUAACAACCUGGAGCAUGGAGAUAGAAUUGGAAGGGUUUUGUGGGGACUGUGAGACAGAGAGGUAUUGAAGAUCCACCCUGCCUGCCUGAGAGUUGAUAACUGUCAGAACACAGGCCCUGAGACCAGAUUAUCUAUGUUUGGAUCCCAGUUCUGCCAUUUACUAGCUGUGUGACCUUGAAGUUACUUACUGUCUGUGCCUCAGUUUCCUCAUAUGUAAGGCACCGCCACCACCUGCUGCUGCCACAGUGGCACCUAAACUUUGUGUAAAUGAAUGAAAGUGCCACAUUCCCAACUCCUGAAAGAAGAACUAAUAAUUAAGUGCAAAGGCAAGUCUGGGUUUGAAAAUAAUGACUGUGGGAUUCAGAAAUGAUUUCGAGAUAAAAUGAACAGGUUAAGUUAAUUUGCAUUGCAGUAGACAGCAUUGCUUCUGAGAAACUGCUCUGUAGAACUUAAGAGACAAAGACUUUGUCAGUUAUUUUAACUCAUGGCCUGAAAGGGCUUGGAGAGCGGAGGAGUAGUGAGGCUCUUGAAGCUUUUAAUCCUUGUGGUGCAGAAUUAUGCCUGUUUUCUCUUUCUGAAAUAGAUUAACGUUUAAGUAUGCUGUAAUGUCUAGCAUUGGUUAAGUACUUGGUAAGUAUUUUACUUAUAUUUAUUUAUUUAGUCUUCACAACAACCUUAGGAGAUAAGUCCUAGAUUUAUUCCCAUUUUACAGUUGAGAAAACCAAAACCAGAGAGUAGCUUAUUCAAGGUCAAAUAGCAAGUAAAUGACAGCAUCAGGCCCAAAUCUCCAAGUCUGGCUUCAGAGCCAUCCUUUUAUCUGCUAUGCUCCACUGCCUUGCCAGUCAAGGUACCAAACCUGUGAGACUAAGAGCUAUUAGACAUGUUUCAUGAAAGUGUGAUUUUCAUCACAUCACUGUCCCGCAGUUACGUGUAUGGAGCUGAAUCCUCAUGGUCCCCGACAGCCUAGUCUGCCUCUACCAUACUGUGGGGCUGGAAAUUCCUCAGAAACAUAGGUAGGCUCUUUUAUUUUCUAAUCUCCAGUGUUUAUUCCUUACAUUAUGUGCUGAAAAAAUUAGGACCCAGCUCUGCUCUUCAGUCCAUAAUGGCAUAGGAGCCAGGGCCAGCCUCAGUAUUACGGAUUUUUUAAAAAGUUACUUGCCUCCAGGAACUAACACCAGCUUAAAGGGAGCACUGUAUUUCAGUGAGGAGAACAAUGAAGACAUGCAAUGGUAGCAAAGCUAUUUCCAUUUUUUUUCUUUAGGUUAUGGUAGGGCACCUAGUUUUUAAAUCCCUCUUUCUUUCUCAUUGUAAUUCAGAGAUGAUGGAACCGUAGCUUCUUAGAAUAAGUUAAAUUACAUAAUGGUCUUCAGAGAGCUAUAAUAAAUUCAAUAGCAAGUAAAUGCAUGGAGAAGAGGUACUUACUUGUAAUUUAGCUUGAAUAAAUGAAUGGAUGUUUCAAUAUCCUUUUUAUAUAUGAGGAAGAAUAUGAUACACUACAUAUUCUACACACCCUAAACCAUUCCUCUGAACCUUUAUUUUUUUCACUUAUCAUAUCUUGUAGGACAUUUCAUAUUAUCACAUAAAAAUUUACCUCAUUCUUUCUCAUGACUUCAUAGGAUUUCAUUGUUUGCAUGUAUUAGAAUUUAUGUAGCUAUCAUCCAGUAAAAAAUAUUUCAAUCGUAUCUAGUCUUAAGCUCUACAAAUAAUGCUGAAAUAAAUAUUUGCACACAUGUAUGUAUAUUUUUGUUUUGGCUUGGUUUUGUUGUUGUUAUUGUUAUUAUUUAUGAGAAAAAAUCCUAGAAGUGGAGUUACUAGGUAAAAGAAUAUUUGGAUUUUAAGUUUUAACUGAUAUUUUCAAAUGAUACUACAAAGAAGUUGCAUUGAUUUGCUCUUAGAAGGAAUUUUAAAUACUGUGUCUAGCCACCCUUGUUAUCUGAUGAUAUUUUUAUAUAACAUUACAGCUUUGCUGUGUGGUAUGACAGGUAAGCCAGAUGAUAAUGAAUAUAUUGAACAAAUAGGCACAUUCAUCAAAAUAUUUUUAAUUGCUUAGUGGGAGUGUGGGAACCUGAUGGACCUCUGGCAACAACACUCUUGUGGCAGAGAAGAAGAAUCAAGUGUGGCCUUCAUGUCUGAUAAUUGGAAAAUGGUCACUUGUGCAAAAUAGUUACAUUUCACUGGGACCUUCUAACACUAUACUCUUUCGAUCUAAACCCAGGUUGGUGAAGGAAAUAUGUAUGGUAUGAACUUGCACACUUCCCUAUAUGCUACAUCAGAUAAGCAUAUGGAACUCUACCCUAUAAAAUCCACCUUCUCCUCUGAAAUGUACCUCUCAGGGUGUGCAUUCCUGGAUCAGGUUAAGCUUUAGUUACUUCACUUUUUUCAUCCAUGCCACCUGAGAAUUCAGUGAUUCCUCUGAUUUGUGACUUUUACAAACUCCUGCCUCAGCUGGAGGGUUUAAUGAGUAGAUAAUUAACACCUGGGACUUUUGGUCCUCCCUGUAGUUGUAUAGUGGUAGAGAAACACAACUGGCUGCAGACUUGUCAGGGAAGAAGAUUAAAGCUAUUAGCAUGGUAAGCUUUGUAGAUUAGCUAUGAACUCCCCGUGUAAUUCUAUUUUCAUCCUUCAUUACCGAGGAUAGUAAGAAAAUCUACUGUGUCAUUAACCUAGCAUAUAUCUGGUAUGAUUUUACUACUUCCCAUCCUUACAAGGCAGAGAGCAGCAGGUGACACUUAGCCUAAUCAAAAACCAUAUUUAGGCUGGGCGUGGUGGUGCACCCCUGUAAUCCCAGCAAUUUGGGAGGCUGAGACAGGAUUGUUUGAGCACAGGAGUUUGAGGUUAUAGUGAGCUAUGAUCAGACCAUUGUACUUCAGCCUGGCUGACAGAAUGGGACCCUAACUCAAAAAAUAAAAAUCAUAUUUAGAUGCUAGAAAAUAAAUUUCUAGCUGAGCCCAGAUCAUUUCAUUAACAAAAUAUGCUAAGUGUCUAUCCAGGCCAGACAGGCACUAUCGUGGAUGUUCAAAAAAUAUAAAGCAGCUGGACACUGGAAAAUGGGACCAGAAAAGGGUAGACACAGAGAGAUGCCAAAGGUCUGCAUGAAGGCAGUGCUAGUAAAAACAGAAGAGAAGCGGCAAAUUUGGGAGUGACCAAAGGGAUAAUAGAUCAAGCUGACUAUUAUAGCAUAAUGCAAAAGGCACAGGCUGGACUCUGACCUCUACCUCAUAGCUGCGUGACCUCAUGGCCCUGAAUCAUUCUGAGCCUCCAUUUUUCCACCCGUAAAGUUAGAGUAAUCCUGCGCCUGUUUUACUGGAUUAACGAGGUCAGUGAGUUAGCGUACAGCACAUGGUCUGACUCAUCAAGGUGAGUACUCAAAAAAGGUUUGUUCCCUCCUUCAUCUGCCCAUCUCCGUACCAGCCUCCUGUCUCGUGCAGAAGCAUCCCCGUGUUGUGGCAGACAGUCCUCAGGGCUGUACUCCAGGCCCACCUGCCUUUGCCCCGAGGGAAAUGGAGUUACCAGCAGUAAUUCCUCUGCUCAGAGUCAGCAUUAGGGAAGGCAGCUGACGAAAGUGAAAUUUAUUUCCCAUCUGUAGGGGGCUGACUUGCAUUCCCCCCCGAAAGAUAUGUGCGAGUCCUAAACCCCAGUUAGGACUUGUGAGUGUGACCUCAGUUGGAAAUAGGGUCUUUGCAGAUGUAAUUAAGGAUUUCAAAAUGAGAUCAUCGUGGAUUUACAGUGGGCCCUAAAUCCAGUGACUGGUGUCCUAACAAGAGAAAGGAGAGGGAGGCUUGAGACACAGAGGGGAAGGCCAUGUGCAGAUGGAGGCAGAGAUUGCAGUAAUACUUUUAUAAGCUCAGGGACACCAAGGGGUGCCACCAGCCAUGAGAAGGUAGGAGAGAGGCCUGGCAGUGAUAUUCUCCCUCAGACCCUCUGGAAGGACACCUUGAUUUCAGACUCCUGUACUCCAGAACUGGGAGAGAAUAAAUUUCUGCUGUUUCAAGCCACUAAGUUUGUGGUCAUUUGUCACAGCAGCCCUAGGGAAUGCAUACACCCUCGAAGCUGAGAAGCCCUGGCAGGUGGGGUGGCUGGUCUGGGGGCUAUAUUCUCACCCUCAGUGUUGAGGCUUCUUUUGGAAGCUUGUGGUACACGGUUGCUCAGUAGCAUCACCAUAUUUUGAUAAUGCUGCU